GACGAACGCUGGCGGCGUGCUUAACACAUGCAAGUCGAGCGGAGCGGCGAACGGGUGCGUAACGCGUGAGUAACUGCCCCCCUCUCUGGGAUAACAGUUGGAAACGGCUGCUAAUACCGGAUAGUGGGGGAUGACUCGCGUCCUAUCAGCUUGUUGGUGGGGUAGUGGCCUACCAAGGCGACGACGGGUAGCCGGCCUGAGAGGGGGACCGGCCACAGUGGGCUGAGAUACGGCCCAAACGAGUACGGGAGGCAGCAGUGGGGAAGAUUGCACAAUGAGGGAAAGCCUGGUGCAGCAGCGCCGCGUGCGGGAUGGCGGCCUUCGGGUUGUGAACCGCUUUCAGCCAUGACGCGGUAGUAGCAGAAGAAGCACCGGCUAACUACGUGCCAGCAGCCGCGGUAAUAC
rnacentral:rRNA from 1 species